AUGUCGGAGCCGGUGGUGGUCGUGGGCGGGUGGGCGAGCCCGUUCGUGUCGCGAGUGUGCAUCGCGCUCAGGCUCAAGGGCGUGGAGUACGAGUUCCUCCAGGAAGCGGUGGGCAGGAAGAGCGAGCUGCUGCUCAGGUCCAACCCCGUGUACAAGAAGAUGCCCGUGCUCCUCCACGGCGGUCGCCCCGUCUGCGAGUCCCUGGUAAUCCUGCAGUACGUCGACGAAGCUUUCUCCGCCGCCGGGAAGCCCAUCCUUCCGGCCGACCCCUACCACUGCGCCGUCCACCGGUUCUGGGCAGAGUAUGCCGACUCCAAGCUCCAUUCACCACUUCGGACAUUGAGAGGUAUGGUCGGCGGCGACAAGGCUCAUGCCGCGGAGCAGGUGUCCGCCGCGCUCCGGCAGCUGGAGGAGGCCUUCGUGGAGUGCAGCUGCGGGAAGCCCUACUUCGGUGGGGAUGACGUCGGCUUCCUGGACAUCGUCGUUGGCUCCUACAUCGGGUGGUUCGGAGCCGCAGAGAGGAUCGCUGGGCUUCCCGUCCUCGACGAGGUCAGAACGCCGCGGCUGGCGGCCUGGGCGGUGCGGUUCUGCGCGCACGAAGCCGUCGGGGACCUCGUGCCCGACGCCGCCAGGCUCGUUGAGUUCGGAGAGGUGCUCCGCGCGGCGCUGGCGGCCAACGCUUCCUCCCGGCCGUGA
rnacentral:rRNA from 1 species